rnacentral:tRNA from 1 species
CCUUCGAUAGCUCAGUUGGUAGAGCGGUGGACUGUAGAAAAAAUAUUAAAAUAAUUGAUAUCCAUAGGUCGCUGGUUCAAAUCCGGCUCGAAGGA